rnacentral:rRNA from 1 species
CCUAAUACAUGCAAGUCGAGCGGUAAGGCUUUCACAGAUUAUUUAACCAGAUAAGUUCUUCGGAAAACUGUUUGCAGCGAUGAUUCCCCGGCUAGGGAAUCAAGAGUUGAAUAAUGCGUGAAAGUACACGAGCGGCGGACGGCUGAGUAACACGUAGGAACGUACCCCAAAGUGAGGGAUAAGCACCGGAAACGGUGUCUAAUACCGCAUGUGAUCUUCGGAUUAAAGCUUCGGCGCUUUGGGAACGGCCUGCGCAUGAUUAGCUUGUUGGUGAGGUAAAAGCUCACCAAGGCGACGAUCAUUAGCUGGUCUGAGAGGAUGAUCAGCCAGACUGGGACUGAGAACGGCCCAGACUCCUACGGGAGGCAGCAGUAGGGAAUUUCCACAAUGGACGAAAGUCUGAUGGAGCAACGCCGCGUGCAGGAUGAAGGGUUUCGGCUCGUAAACUGCUUUUAUCUGUGAAGAUUAUGACGGUAGCAGAUGAAUAAGGAUCGGCUAACUCCGUG